AGAACGAACGCUGGCGGCAUGCCUAACACAUGCAAGUCGAACGAGACCUUCGGGUCUAGUGGCGCACGGGUGCGUAACGCGUGGGAAUCUGCCCUUGGGUUCGGGAUAACAGUUGGAAACGACUGCUAAUACCGGAUGAUGUCUUCGGACCAAAGAUUUAUCGCCCAAAGGAUGAGCCCGCGUAGGAUUAGCUUGUUGGUGGGGUUACGCCUACCAAGGCAACGAUGGGUAGCUGGUCUGAGAGGACGAUCAGCCACACUGGGACUGAGACACGGCCCAGACUCCUACGGGAGGCAGCAGUGGGGAAUCUUGCGCAAUGCACGAAAGCG
rnacentral:rRNA from 1 species